ACGAACGCUGGCGGCAUGCCUAACACAUGCAAGUCGAACGAUGCCUCCGGGCAUAGUGGCGCACGGGUGCGUAACGCGUGGGAAUCUGCCCUUGGGUUCGGAAUAACUCGCCGAAAGGCGAGCUAAUACCGGAUGAUGACGUAAGUCCAAAGAUUUAUCGCCCAAGGAUGAGCCCGCGUAGGAUUAGCUAGUUGGUGGGGUAAAGGCCCACCAAGGCGACGAUCCUUAGCUGGUCUGAGAGUAUGAUCAGCCACACUGGGACUGAGACACGGCCCAGACUCCUACGGGAGGCAGCAGUGGGGAAUAUUGGACAAUGGGCGAAAGCCUGAUCCAGCAAUGCCGCGUGAGUGAUGAAGGCCUUAGGGUUGUAAAGCUCUUUUACCCGGGAUGAUAAUGACAGUACCGGGAGAAUAAGCUCCGGCUAACUCCGUG
rnacentral:rRNA from 1 species